AGAGUUUGAUCCUGGCUCAGAUUGAACGCUGGCGGCAGGCCUAACACAUGCAAGUCGAACGGUAACAGGAAACAGCUUGCUGUUUCGCUGACGAGUGGCGGACGGGUGAGUAAUGUCUGGGAAACUGCCUGAUGGAGGGGGAUAACUACUGGAAACGGUAGCUAAUACCGCAUAACGUCGCAAGACCAAAGAGGGGGACCCUCGGGCCUCUUGCCAUCGGAUGUGCCCAGAUGGGAUUAGCUUGUUGGUGGGGUAACGGCUCACCAAGGCGACGAUCCCUAGCUGGUCUGAGAGGAUGACCAGCCACACUGGAACUGAGACACGGUCCAGACUCCUACGGGAGGCAGCAGUGGGGAAUAUUGCACAAUGGGCGCAAGCCUGAUGCAGCCAUGCCGCGUGUAUGAAGAAGGCCUUCGGGUUGUAAAGUACUUUCAGCGGGGAGGAAGGGAGUAAAGUUAAUACCUUUGCCCAUUGACGUUACCCGCAGAAGAAGCACCGGCUAACUCCGUGCCAGCAGCCGCGGUAAUACGGAGGGUGCAAGCGUUAAUCGGAAUUACUGGGCGUAAAGCGCACGCAGGCGGUUUGUUAAGUCAGAUGUGAAAUCCCCGGGCUCAACCUGGGAACUGCAUCUGAUACUGGCAAGCUUGAGUCUCGUAGAGGGGGGUAGAAUUCCAGGUGUAGCGGUGAAAUGCGUAGAGAUCUGGAGGAAUACCGGUGGCGAAGGCGGCCUCCUGGACGAAGACUGACGCUCAGGUGCGAAAGCGUGGGGGAGCAAACAGGAUUAGAUACCCUGGUAGUCCACGCCGUAAACGAUGUCGACUUGGAGGUUGUGCCCUUGAGGCGUGGCUUCCGGAGCUAACGCGUUAAGUCGACCGCCUGGGGAGUACGGCCGCAAGGUUAAAACUCAAAUGAAUUGACGGGGGCCCGCACAAGCGGUGGAGCAUGUGGUUUAAUUCGAUGCAACGCGAAGAACCUUACCUGGUCUUGACAUCCACGGAAGUUUUCAGAGAUGAGAAUGUGCCUUCGGGAACCGUGAGACAGGUGCUGCAUGGCUGUCGUCAGCUCGUGUUGUGAAAUGUUGGGUUAAGUCCCGCAACGAGCGCAACCCUUAUCCUUUGUUGCCAGCGGUCCGGCCGGGAACUCAAAGGAGACUGCCAGUGAUAAACUGGAGGAAGGUGGGGAUGACGUCAAGUCAUCAUGGCCCUUACGACCAGGGCUACACACGUGCUACAAUGGCGCAUACAAAGAGAAGCGACCUCGCGAGAGCAAGCGGACCUCAUAAAGUGCGUCGUAGUCCGGAUUGGAGUCUGCAACUCGACUCCAUGAAGUCGGAAUCGCUAGUAAUCGUGGAUCAGAAUGCCACGGUGAAUACGUUCCCGGGCCUUGUACACACCGCCCGUCACACCAUGGGAGUGGGUUGCAAAAGAAGUAGGUAGCUUAACCUUCGGGAGGGCGCUUACCACUUUGUGAUUCAUGACUGGGGUGAAGUCGUAACAAGGUAACCGUA
rnacentral:rRNA from 1 species